GAAGGGGGCUAGCGUUGUUCGGAAUUACUGGGCGUAAAGCGCGCGUAGGCGGUUUUGCAAGCCAGAGGUGAAAUGCCUGAGCUCAACUCAGGAAUGGCCUUUGGGACUGCGAGGCUUUGAGGACUGGAGAGGUGAGUGGAAUUCCCAGUGUAGAGGUGAAAUUCGUAGAUAUUGGGAAGAACACCGGUGGCGAAGGCGGUUCACUGGCCAGUUUCUGACGCUGUAGCGCGAAAGCGUGGGGAUCAAACAGGAUUAGAUACCCUGGUAGUCCACGCCGUAAACGAUGAGUGCUAGGCGUCGGCAUGCAUGCAUGUCGGUGCCGCAGCUAACGCGUGAAGCACUCCGCCUGGGGAGUACGGUCGCAAGAUUA
rnacentral:rRNA from 1 species